AUUGAACGCUGGCGGCAGGCUUAACACAUGCAAGUCGAGCGGGGGAAGGUAGCUUGCUACCGGACCUAGCGGCGGACGGGUGAGUAAUGCUUAGGAAUCUGCCUAUUAGUGGGGGACAACAUCUCGAAAGGGAUGCUAAUACCGCAUACGUCCUACGGGAGAAAGCAGGGGAUCUUCGGACCUUGCGCUAAUAGAUGAGCCUAAGUCGGAUUAGCUAGUUGGUGGGGUAAAGGCCUACCAAGGCGACGAUCUGUAGCGGGUCUGAGAGGAUGAUCCGCCACACUGGGACUGAGACACGGCCCAGACUCCUACGGGAGGCAGCAGUGGGGAAUAUUGGACAAUGGGGGGAACCCUGAUCCAGCCAUGCCGCGUGUGUGAAGAAGGCCUUAUGGUUGUAAAGCACUUUAAGCGAGGAGGAGGCUACUCUAGUUAAUACCUAGGGAUAGUGGACGUUACUCGCAGAAUAAGCACCGGCUAACUCUGUGCCAGCAGCCGCCGCAGUAA
rnacentral:rRNA from 1 species